rnacentral:rRNA from 1 species
AGGACGAACGCUGGCGGCGUGCUUAACACAUGCAAGUCGAGCGGUAAGGCCUCUUCGGGGGUACACGAGCGGCGAACGGGUGAGUAGCACGUGAGCAAUCUGCCCUUCACUUCGGGAUAAGCCUCGGAAACGGGGUCUAAUACCGGAUAUGACCGUGCCAUGCAUGUGGUGUGGUGGAAAGUUCUGGCGGUGGAGGAUGAGCUCGCGGCCUAUCAGCUUGUUGGUGGGUAAUGGCCUACCAAGGCUUCGACGGGUAGCCGGCCUGAGAGGGUGACCGGCCACACUGGGACUGAGACACGGCCCAGACUCCUACGGGAGGCAGCAGUGGGGAAUAGUUGGACAAGUGGGACGAAAGCCUGAUCCGAGCAACGCCGCGUGAGGAUGACGGUCCUUCGGGUCGUUAAACCGUCUUCGAGCGCCGACGAAGCGAGAGUGACGGUAGCGACGAGAAGAGACACCG